rnacentral:rRNA from 1 species
AUUGAACGCUGGCGGCAUGCUUUACACAUGCAAGUCGAACGGCAGCACGGGGGCAACCCUGGUGGCGAGUGGCGAACGGGUGAGUAAUGCAUCGGAACGUGCCCCGUCGUGGGGGAUAACACAUCGAAAGAUGUGCUAAUACCGCAUACGACCUGAGGGUGAAAGCGGGGGACCGCAAGGCCUCGCGCGAUGGGAGCGGCCGAUGUCUGAUUAGCUAGUUGGUGGGGUAAAGGCCUACCAAGGCGACGAUCAGUAGCUGGUCUGAGAGGACGACCAGACACACUGGGACUGAGACACGGCCCAGACUCCUACGGGAGGCAGCAGUGGGGAAUUUUGGACAAUGGGGGCAACCCUGAUCCAGCCAUGCCGCGUGCGGGAAGAAGGCCUUCGGGUUGUAAACCGCUUUUGGCAGGAACGAAACGGUGCGGGCGAAUACCCUGUGCUAAUGACGGUACCUGCAGAAUAAGCACCGGCUAACUACGUGCCAGCCGCCGCGGUAAUAC